GGUCUUCAGGGCAGGGUGAAAUUCCCGACCGGCGGUAAAGUCCGCGAGCCAUAUUGGCAUGAAUUGGUGUAAUUCCAAUACCGAUAGUAUAGUCUAGAUGGAAGAAUG
rnacentral:ncRNA from 1 species